CCCUUAGACGUUCUGGGCCGCACGCGCGCUACACUGACCAGUGCAACAAGCAUCCGUCCUUGGCCGACAGGCCCGGGCAAUCUUUGAACGCUGGUCGUGAUGGGGAUAGACUUUUGCAAUUUUUGGUCUUCAACGAGGAAUUCCUAGUAAACGCAAGUCAUCAACUUGCAUUGAUUACGUCCCUGCCCUUUGUACACACCGCCCGUCGCACCUACCGAUUGAAUGGUCCGGUGAAGCCUCCGGAUUGGCGCGCACCUCGGUGCCGCCGAGAAGUUGGCUAAACCUUNCNAUUUACNGGAAGGUGAANUCGUANCA
rnacentral:rRNA from 1 species